rnacentral:lncRNA from 1 species
GUGAAAUAGUGUGAUAAUAAUUGUAAUGAGGACUCCUUUUGAGUUUGUAUAAUCUCUAGUAGACAAUAUUUGUAUUCAAACUCACAGUUUAUGUUUUGUCGUAUUGUACACGACAGUUGUAUUAGUAAGUUGUAUUUGAAUUCUGUACUAUAUAUCUUGCGACCCAAGAUGAGUGAUGUAUACUUAAUUUUGGGGGCGUCACAUCAGGGACAUUUUUUGACCCUUUUCCCAUUUAAAAUUUGAAUCGUUCGUUCACGAGAGAUGUUACUCAUGUUCAAGG